UACGGAGGGGGUUAGCGUUGUUCGGAAUUACUGGGCGUAAAGCGCACGUAGGCGGAUGGACAAGUUGGGGGUGAAAGCCCAGGGCUCAACCCUGGAACUGCCUUCAAAACUGUCUGUCUUGAGGUUGGGAGAGGUGAGUGGAAUUCCGAGUGUAGAGGUGAAAUUCGUAGAUAUUCGGAGGAACACCAGUGGCGAAGGCGGCUCACUGGCCCAAUACUGACGCUGAGGUGCGAAAGCGUGGGGAGCAAACAGG
rnacentral:rRNA from 1 species